AUGAACGCUGGCGGCGUGCCUAAUACAUGCAAGUCGAGCGAACAGACGAAGAGCUUGCUCCUCUGACGUUAGCGGCGGACGGGUGAGUAACACGUGGAUAACCUACCUAUAAGACUGGGAUAACUUCGGGAAACCGGAGCUAAUACCGGAUAAUAUAUUGAACCGCAUGGUUCAAUAGUGAAAGACGGUUUUGCUGUCACUUAUAGAUGGAUCCGCGCCGCAUUAGCUAGUUGGUAAGGUAACGGCUUACCAAGGCGACGAUGCGUAGCCGACCUGAGAGGGUGAUCGGCCACACUGGAACUGAGACACGGUCCAGACUCCUACGGGAGGCAGCAGUAGGGAAUCUUCCGCAAUGGGCGAAAGCCUGACGGAGCAACGCCGCGUGAGUGAUGAAGGUCUUCGGAUCGUAAAACUCUGUUAUUAGGGAAGAACAAAUGUGUAAGUAACUAUGCACGUCUUGACGGUACCUAAUCAGAAAGCCACGGCUAACUACGUG
rnacentral:rRNA from 1 species